GAGUUUGAUCUUGGCUCAGAUUGAACGCUGGCGGCAUGCCUAACACAUGCAAGUCGAACGGCAGCACUGGGAGCUUGCUCCCUGGUGGCGAGUGGCGGACGGGUGAGUAACGCGUAGGAAUCUGCCUCAUAGCGGGGGACAACUCGGGGAAACUCGAGCUAAUACCGCAUACUACUCGAGAGAGGAAAGCAGGGGACCUUCGGGCCUUGCACUAUGAGAUGAGCCUGCGUUGGAUUAGCUAGUUGGUAGGGUAAAGGCCUACCAAGGCGACGAUCCAUAACUGGUUUGAGAGGAUGACCAGUCACACUGGGACUGAGACACGGCCCAGACUCCUACGGGAGGCAGCAGUGGGGAAUAUUGGACAAUGGGGGAAACCCUGAUCCAGCAAUGCCGCGUGUGUG
rnacentral:rRNA from 1 species